rnacentral:rRNA from 1 species
CAAAUGACUCUCGGCAAUGGAUAUCUCGGCUCUUGCAUCGAUGAAGAACGUAGUGAAAUGCGAUACUUGGUGUGAAUUGCAGAAUCUCGUGAACCAUUGAGUCUUUGAACGCAAGUUGUGCCCGAGGCCUUGUGGUCGAGGGCACGCCUGCUUGGGCGCCAUGG